CCUGAACACACCUAAAACACAAAUAAGUUCCUAUGUGGUGUCACAAGAAUGAGGAAAAGCUAUCAGGAGAAACACUUGAUGAGAAUGUGAUGUUUCUCUUUUUUUGGUUUAGGUGCAGACUCAGCUGACACCACAAAUCAGCCAGACAACAGCUCAGAAGAGGAGUCAGACGCUGAGGACAAAGACAAAAAGGUCAAAGACAAAGACGCAGAAAUAAAGGACGAAGACAAAAAGGCCAAAGACAAAGACCCCAAAGACAAGAGCUCAGAAGAGGAGUCAGACGCUGAGGACAAAGACAAAAAGGCCAAAGACAAAGACGCCAAAGACAAGAGCUCAGAAGAGGAGUCAGACACUGAGGACAAAGACAAAAAGGCCAAAGACAAAGACG
ensembl:lncRNA